rnacentral:tRNA from 2 species
GCGCCGGUGGUUCAGUGGUAGAAUACUCGCCUGCCACGCGGGUGGCCCGGGUUCGAUUCCCGGCCGGCGCA